rnacentral:rRNA from 1 species
UACGUAGGGUGCGAGCGUUGUCCGGAAUUACUGGGCGUAAAGAGCUCGUAGGUGGUUUGUCGCGUUGUUCGUGAAAACUCACAGCUCAACUGUGGGCGUGCGGGCGAUACGGGCAGACUGGAGUACUGCAGGGGAGACUGGAAUUCCUGGUGUAGCGGUGGAAUGCGCAGAUAUCAGGAGGAACACCGGUGGCGAAGGCGGGUCUCUGGGCAGUAACUGACGCUGAGGAGUGAAAGCGUGGGGAGCGAACAGG